GUUUCAUUUGAGGCGGGCUGGACCUCUCGGGGUUACAGCCUUGCUGAAUUAUUCACCCUUGUCUUUUGCGUACUUCUUGUUUCCUUGGUGGGUUCGCCCACCACUAGGACAAACAUAAACCUUUUGUAAUUGCAAUCAGCGUCAGUAACAAAUUAAUAAUUACAACUUUCAACAACGGAUCUCUUGGUUCUGGCAUCGAUGAAGAACGCAGCGAAAUGCGAUAAGUAGUGUGAAUUGCAGAAUUCAGUGAAUCAUCGAAUCUUUGAACGCACAUUGCGCCCUUUGGUAUUCCAAAGGGCAUGCCUGUUCGAGCGUCAUUUGUACCCUCAAGCUUUGCUUGGUGUUGGGCGUCUUGUCUCUAGCUUUGCUGGAGACUCGCCUUAAAGUAAUUGGCAGCCGGCCUACUGGUUUCGGAGCGCAGCACAAGUCGCACUCUCUAUCAGCAAAGGUCUAGCAUCCAUUAAGCCUUUUUUUCAACUUUUGACCUCGGAUCAGGUAGGGAUACCCGCUGAACUUAAGCAUAUCAAAAAA
rnacentral:rRNA from 1 species